GCAGCGUACGGGGCGCAGCAGUGGGGAAUAUUGCACAAUGGGGGAAACCCUGAUGCAGCGACGCCGCGUGAGUGAAGAAGCGUUUCGGCGCGUAAAGCUCUGUCAGCGGGGAAGAAACACGGUUCGCGAGAGCCGCGGACGGUACCCGACCAAGAAGCCCCGGCUAACUACGUGCCAGCAGCCGCGGUAAUACGUAGGGUGCAAGCGUUAUCCGGAUUCACUGGGUGUAAAGGGAGCGGAGAC
rnacentral:rRNA from 1 species